GAGUUUGAUUCUGGCUCAGGAUGAACGCACAAGACGUGCCUAACACAUGCAAAUCGAAUGAAAAGAAUUAAUUAUUGUUUUCAUGGUGAACGGGUGAGUAACACAUAAGAAUCAGCUUUUAGAUAAGGCAUAAAAGAGUAAUAUCUUGGUAAUUCCUUAUAUGCGCAGCAGUGCUUAAAAAGGGGAGUCCCGUCUAAAAACGAGCUUAUGCCUGAUUAGCUAGUUGGCGAGUUAAAAGCUCACCAAGGCGAAGAUCAGUAGCUGGCCUGAGAGGGCGGCCAGCCACAUUGGGACUGAGACACGGCCCAAACUCCUACGGGAGGCAGCAGUGGGGAAUCUUCUGCAAUGGGCGCAAGCCUGACAGAGCGGCGUCGUGUGAAGGAAGAAGGCCUGAAAUAGGUUGUAAACUUCUUUUACUGAGUAAUGAAUAAUGACAACGCAGUAAAAAAGUAUCGGCUAACUCCGUGCCAGCAGCCGCGGUAAUACGGGGGAUGCAAGCGUUAUCCGGAAUCACUGGGCGUAAAGCGUCUGUAGGUGGUUUAGUGUGUUCUUAGUUAAAUUAUGAAGCCUAACUUCAUGAAAAGUAAGAAAACUAUUAGACUUGAGUACGAUAGGGGUAAGAGGAAUUCUUCGAGAAGUAGUGAAAUGCGAAGAUACGAAGGAGAAGAUCAUAAGCGAAGGCUUCUUACUGGGUCGUAACUGACACUGAGAGACGAAAGCUAGGGGAGCGAAUGGGAUUAGAUACCCCAGUAGUCCUAGCUGUAAACGAUGGAUAUUCGGUGCCGGAAAUUUUAUUAGAACAUUUCGGUACCCUAGCUAACGCGUUAAAUAUCCCGCCUGAGGAGUACGCUCGCAAGGGUGAAACUCAAAGGAAUUGACGGGGGCUCGCACAAGCGGUGGAGCAUGUGGU
rnacentral:rRNA from 1 species